rnacentral:rRNA from 1 species
GUCUACAGACAUGCCACCCUGAACAUGCCCGAUCUCGUAUGAUCUUGGAAGCUAAGUAGGGUCGGGCCUGGUUAGUACUUGGAGGGGAGACCACCAAGGAAUGCUGGGUGUUGUAGGUG